AGGGCACCACCAGGAGUGGAGCCUGCGGCUUAAUUUGACUCAACACGGGAAAACUCACCCGGCCCGGACACUGGAAGGAUUGAUAGAUUGAGAGCUCUUUCUUGAUUCAGUGGGUGGUGGUGCAUGGCCGUUCUUAGUUGGUGGAGUGAUUUGUCUGGUUAAUUCCGAUAACGAACGAGACUCUAGCCUACUAAAUAGAUCGUCGGCUUACAAACGCCGGCGAGACUUCUUAGAGGGACAGGCGGUGAUUCAACCGCACGAAACAGAGCAAUAACAGGUCUGUGAUGCCCUUAGAUGUCCGGGGCCGCACGCGCGCUACACUGAAGUGAUCAGCGUGCUUUUUCAACCUACUCUGUCAAGAGUGGGGAACCCAAUGAACCUUCUUCGUGAUUGGGAUAGGGGAUUGCAAUUAUUCCCCUUGAACGAGGAAUUCCCAGUAAGCGCGAGUCAUAAGCUCGCGUUGAUUACGUCCCUGCCCUUUGUACACACCGCCCGUCGCUACUACCGAUUGAAUGUUUU
rnacentral:rRNA from 1 species